rnacentral:rRNA from 1 species
GGACUACUCGGGUUUCUAAUCCGUUUUGCUCCCCACGCUUUCAUGCCUCAAUGUCAGUAACAGAAUAGUUAACUGCUUUCGCCUUAUCGGUGUUCUUCCAUAUAUCGUCACAUUUUACCGCUCCACAUGGAGUUCCGUUAACUUCUCCUGAACUCAAGCAUGACAGUAUUAACAGCUUCCACGAGGUUGAGCCCCGAUUUGCCACUGAUAACUUAUCACGCCAUCUACGCAUCCUUUACGCCCAAUAAUUCCGGAUAACGUUCGCCACCUAUGUCUUACCGCGGCGGCUGGCAC